UACAGAGGGUGCAAGCGUUAAUCGGAAUUACUGGGCAUAAAGCGUGCGUAGUCGGUUAUCUAAGUCGGGUGUGAAAUCCCCGGGCUCAACCUGGGAAUUGCAUUCGAUACUGGAUAGCUAGAGUUCGGCAGAGGGAAGCGGAAUUUCGGGUGUAGCGGUGAAAUGCGUAGAUAUCCGAAGGAACAUCAGUGGCGAAAGCGGCUUCCUGGACCAGAACUGACGAUCAGGCACGAAAGCGUGGGGAGCAAACAGG
rnacentral:rRNA from 1 species